rnacentral:ncRNA from 1 species
AAUAACCAAAUAUAAUAUUUAGGCUAAGGGUCAGGUUGGUAAUUUUUCUUAUAUCUCCCCCUCAAGAAGCCCAAAUGCAAUAUACACCCCAAAAUAAAGAGCCUUGAAUU